rnacentral:lncRNA from 13 species
CAAAUCACUUUUUAAAAUUUCUACUCAAAGUUAAAAUCAAUAUAUUGCACAUUACAUUUAUUUAUGUCCAAAUGAAAAUAAUGCAAAUAUAAUGAAAUUUAAAAAUUUUAAACUUUUCUGCAAAAGGAACACGGGAACUAUGUAAAAAAAUCAUCCCAGAGAGUGGUGCCUUCAUCUCAGGAGUAAGUACAAAGCAAGCUCCUUUCUGUCUACUUGAAUCUGCUUAUCUUCUCUUUGUCUCCCAAGAUGCCUCCUGAUUUUCUUAGAUUCCUUUAGAUUGAAGACUUGCAUUGGGCUUGUUUUUCUGUGUUGUCCUUAACCCUCUUCUUAAAGCCCCACUCCAUGUGGGUGACCCAGAUAAGGACACUGAGGCAGCAGGUAUUAAGUAAGUGGGUUAAGUUUGCCCUGCUGAUAAGAGAUACAUGAACACUGGAAUAGGAAUGACAAAGGCAUGCUCUCCUUUUGCUUCUGCUGCAAAUCAGCAGGUCUUUCAAGAAGUACUCCAAAAGCAGGCAUUGUUAUCAUAGAUGACACCUCCGUGUAGGUUAUUGCCCUUGAAAUCCUUCCAGUGGGACAGGAUGUGGAAAUGGAAGACAGGGAUGUUGGCGAUCCUGAUGCUGGUUACGCCUAGGUGCAGAGGGUGGAGUUAAUCAUUCUCCUCAGUUCCUACUUGGUGAAUGAAUCAUUUAUCCUUCAAUUUUCAUCUCAAUACAGAGGCUUUACCUCCGUGUAGCCUAACUGGACAACUGGAGAGAACAGACUGCAUUGUCCCAUCACUGCCCCAUGGACAUACCUAAGAUGUUAUAUUAUAUUCCCGCAUCUCUUUAGGUCUUUACCUCUCAGCUGAACCCUGAACUCCUGGAGAGCAGAUGUUGUCUGAAAACCACCAGCAUCUCACACAAUGAUUGUUGAAUAAAUCCUUAUUAAAUAAUGACA